ensembl:snRNA U6 U6 spliceosomal RNA
AUGCGCACUUCAGCAGCACAUAUACUAAAAACUGGAACGACACAGAGAUUAGCACAGCUACUGCACAAGAAAGAAACACAAAUUCCUGAAGCAUUCCAUAAAAAA